rnacentral:lncRNA from 1 species
UGGAAAUGACGACCUUGAAUGCUGGAUGCUGGGACUAUUUAUACUGCGGAGCUUGUGGGUUUUUCCAUUGCGGACGAUUCCAGCAGCCACACCCCUUAUCGAAAAAUGAAACAAAUUCAAACAGGUCAUUGACAGGUUUCAUCCUUCGCCAAGGUUUUUCCUGUCUUCCAAAUCUAUGCGCAUUUGCCGCCCCGAUAUUUCUGCACGCGCCAACUUGUCGGAUGUGUCCUCGUCCGCUCCGGAGAUUCCCAUCAAAGAGUGCGCUAUUCACAGUUUCCUCCUCUUCCGCAGGAGCUGCAUCUUCCCCGCCGGAUGCGGCAGCUGCAGUUGUUGGAGCGGCCGUUGAAGCCACUGGCGCCGCUGAAGCGACCGAGGCGGACGCUGAAGGUGGGGGCUUAUUCCCUCCUCCUCCGGCUAUUCCGGAUGGAUUGGUGUUGUUAUUCUCCGCUAUAACAGGAAGAAUCCCCGGCGGAAAGAAACCUGGCCCUAUUCCCGGAUAGCCAGCACCAGGUAACAUUCCUGGAUAGUAAGGAUUAUUCAAACCAACACCGGGAUAGAAUCCUUGUCCGGAUCCAACACCGGGGUAGAAUCCCUGUCCCGGAAUCAUUCCUCCGCCACCUCCAAAUUGAGGAUGAGGUGGAUGAAACCCUCCUCCGCCUCCUGGUGGAAAUUGGGCUGGAUAUCCUGGUGGGAAAGCUCCUUGCUGGUACGGAUUUGACCCGAAUCCGCCGGCGUAAGUGAAUUAACUUGGACGAGGUACGAGCGAGAAGAGAAAACUGAUUUUGUUGUGCAGCAAAUUUUCUUUCGUCAGCUUCUUGGAACACUUCAAUGACUUGGGCUUCACCCUGGGCAUCGACGGAUAUCCCGCCGUAAGUCACCAGUGCCAACAGCAGCAGAAGAAACGCAAACACUCUAUUACUCAUCAUGUUGAGCGGAUCCGACGACUGGACUUUUGAUUCUGGUGUCCUUAUCGAUGACGAGUCGACUUUUUAUAGUAACCUGUGUGAUACCACUAUGGUACACGGUUCAUCGAUUCGACCCAAAUGAUCCUGAUGCAAAACACCAGCAUUUUCCAACCGAGUAGGAUUUUCAAUCAGCGAUGGACGGCGACGAGGAACUUGCACAGCGAUAAAUAAAGGCGAGAUGUGCAACACACGCAAGAGGUCACGGACGAGAGUUUCAAGCCGGAAAGGAGAAAUUCAUCGAGAAACUACGCCAAAAAUGAAAGCCAAUUCAGAGCAAACUGACUCUGCCGGUUGAAAUCUAUUUGCGGAAUCCUUCCGAACGUGGGAUCUGAGACCGGAGCAGCUUGGCAGACCGACGCCACGUGAGCAGAACUGCCAUGUCUGGCAGGGCACGACUAGCUGAUGGGAAAUGACGACCUUGCACAUGGAAUGACAUACCUUUUAUACUUUGAGGCUGUGGCAUCUUUCAUUCCAGAUAAUUCCUGGCUGUCACCAAGUGUCACACACCCCUUCGUAUACUAGAGGACACUUGCAGGUCGUUGACGGGAGUAUAUUCCUUGGAGGAUCAAAGUCUUGUCUAUCGCAGACCUUCCUCCCCUUUUCGUAUAAUCCGGUAGGGUUCAUCGUAUAAUAACCCCAUCCAGCUGACAAUCGGUUUCAGCAACAAUUCAUGCGUCAAGGUUUUUCCGGUUCCCAAAUAAUAAUUCGACGGAUUCCUGGCUUGUACGUAGAUUUUUUAUUAUUACAUAAAAAUAGAUAUUACAAUAACUAUGCGGUUUGUUAUAAGGUCGACGAACGACAGGUGAUUAUGAAAGAGAGGGGCGGAUAAUUCAUUUGAACUGGGAUAAAUUUUCAAAGUGCGACAAUGGGCACCGUGGCGAUGUGUGGCAAUCGACCAGAUUCAUUGUCACCGAAAACUCCGCCCGGAUUGGCCACUGACCAGUCUAAAGUUUGUUUUCGAACGGCCAUGAAUGGCAUCACACUCUUGUCCUUGGUGAUAUCGGUCACGAUAUCCUCCUGUCGUCCUUCCUGAAUGUUGGUAGGGUCCGAUUCCACUCGUUCCUGCCGAACAGAACAACAUGAAAAUUAUCUGUCAACUAUACUUUCCCUGCGCACGUUAAUAAUUUAUUAUUUUUACCUUCUCAGAAUCCUUGAUAGCGGCGGCGGCUUUAUGGAGCGACUGGAACACCAAGGUCAUGGACGGAGUCAGUUUACUCCUCAGAGACUCUUUGGUGAUGGCUGGACUGGCCAAUCCGUGGGCAGCCAGAAGGGCCAGCAAAAAGAAAGAUAUCGACAUUGUCUGCUCAAGGUUAGCAGUCAAGCCCCCAGAUGCGCACAACUAUUUGGCAUGUACGUGUGAGGACACGGAUUUUUAAAAACAAGGGCAGAAUCACGGCACUCCAUUCAAGUGAAAGUGCCUCUGGCCAAACAUUGCAAUUAACACGUGAACCAAAGAGGUAUAAAACGUGUUCCAUGCUAUCUUAUAAUGUUAACCAUGCGGUCAUCAAGGACGACAGCACAGUCUCUUUUGCACGCUAUUUGAACUUUUGAAAACGACAAACUUAAAAUCAAAUUAUUGGCGGAGAUUUACCUUGAGCAUCAUUUCGGAGUUGGUUUGUUUGUAGAAUCACGAAAUACGGACGGGAAAAACUGAUUGUAGAGAAACCGAUAAGAAUACGACCGACAGUUGUGAAGCCAAAGAAAGGUCUGAUCUCUCUUGCAGAAAUGCUUACGCUUUUUUACUAAAGGCCUCCUCAGUCCUCACCUUGACUUUUUUUUUUCUCUUUCUGGGUGGAACCAAAAAUAAAAACUUUUAUUUCCGGACUUGCUUUUGUCGGUAUUAUACUCUCACUUUUUCAGGGUAAUUUACUAAUUUUCCUUAUGAAUUGAAUUAGUCAUAUUUUUGUUUACAAAUUCAUAAUUAGUGUAACGAUUGUAUUUAUCCGCAAAAGGAGUUGGAAUUUGGAAAAAUUCUUAUUCUGUUUAUAAGUGACCUUGAAAGAAGUAGGCCAAGUUGAGGUUUGUUCGUUAUCCUAGUUAUUUCCUGUUGUGUUAUACAAGGUAAGUUCUGGACGUCUAGAAGUCGUAGAUUACGGUUGAGGGUUGUUCAAGUUUCGGUUGCGAAACGAUUGUUUCUUACUUAUUUAGUGAAAAUCAAUUUUACUGAAAAGUUAAAAGUCAUUGUGUUGUAUAACGCAAAAGUUGAGACAAAUUUGCCAGGGUCCUUUUGGGACCAUAUUAUUUCGAAUGACUUUUAACUUAACAGUUUGCUUACGUAAACUAAUGUGACUUCAUGCUUAUGUAAACAGGUUGUUUAUGUGAACCCUUUGCUAUUUAUUUAGGUCAAUCAUCACUUUGACUUCAUUUACAGCGGCUUAUACACCACUUGACGGACGUCCAGCAGCAAUUGCGGAAAAAAAGCAUAUCACUGUCAAUUAAUAAGAUGUACGUUCUAAGCAACUUGUUAUACACUUUUUCAGCGGAGAACUUAAAUUAUUAUUAUUCGACGGUGAGGAAAAUGGCCCUUCUAUUCCUUACUGGAACUUUCAUAAUUCUACUCUUGCUGUUGAUGGCAUGGCCUACGGUUGAAUCUGGAAGCUACGGGACCUGGGACAUUAAAAACUGCCUUACGGAUUCAUCCUACUCUGAUGAUAGAUGUCAAGGAUCGAACAUUUUCUACUCAACUGUUGAAAACUAAGGCCAGAAUUACAUAAUUAUCUUAUAUAACUUUAAUUUUCUUGUUUAUUCAACUUAUUAUUAUGAUGUAAUUGUUACAAGUAACAUUAAAAUCCGAGUAAAUUUUCAUUUUUAUUAAAUCAAA